rnacentral:rRNA from 1 species
GACGAACGCUGGCGGCGUGCCUAAUACAUGCAAGUCGAACGCACUCUCGUUUAGAUUGAAGGAGCUUGCUCCUGAUUGAUAAACAUUUGAGUGAGUGGCGGACGGGUGAGUAACACGUGGGUAACCUGCCCUAAAGUGGGGGAUAACAUUUGGAAACAGAUGCUAAUACCGCAUAAAACCUAACACCGCAUGGUGUAGGGUUGAAAGAUGGUUUCGGCUAUCACUUUAGGAUGGACCCGCGGUGCAUUAGUUAGUUGGUGAGGUAAAGGCUCACCAAGACCGUGAUGCAUAG